GAAUAUCUAACAGCUACACCAUGUUAUCUAGGCUAUGAAACAAUUCUUGGUUCCAACCACCAUUCUUUUCUUAUCCAUGAAUUUCUCAAGGCUUUGGUGAUGGGAUUGUGUGUUUUUCCACACAAUGGAUGUGAUUAGGAAUGGUUGGCCAGGUCCUACACAAUAAAUUGCUCCAGCAUUCCUUUGGGUGACCAUUGAGACAAGUUUCAGCCAACAAAUGUAGCAAAGAAUUGGAACCACUCUCAGCUGUUCAUGCGAGUACUCUCAAUCCAGAAUAUCUGGUAAGUCGACUGUUAGGGAUUGAAUUGUGUCCCUCCAAAAUGUAUGUGGAAAUCCUAACCCCUGUACCUGUAAAUCUGACCUUGUUAGGAAAGAGGGGGCCUGCUUUUAUUAUGUGAAUGAGGUCAUACCAAUGUAGGGUGGGUCCUAAGCCUAACUCUUCUUAGUUAUAAAAGGAGCAGAAUACACACAGACACAAACAGGUGAAAAGGAAGACAGACAAAGAAGACAGAUGCUUCUAGAAGGCCAGGAACACAAAUGAUUGCUGGCAUCUACUAGAAGCUGAGGUAGACAAGGAAGGACCUCCCACUACAGCCAUGCCCUGAAUUCGAACGACUACCUGCUAAACUGUGAGAAAAUAAAUUUCUGUUCUUUAAAGCCACCCAGUUGUGUUAUUUUUUGUUAUGGAGGGACUAGGUAGCUAACACACAUACCCGUUCUUAUAAGUUCAGCCCAGUGCAGAAUAAUUUUCUUCCCUCCUUGGUCUAGACCACCCGAACCUGCUCUUUCCCUAUCAGUGUCCUUUGCUUUCACCUAAGAGCUAUGACAGAGUCAGCUUGAUGCUGAUGCAUUGAAAUUUCAAUUUAUUUUUUAUUUAUGAUUACUAUUAAUUCCAUUAUUUUCUACAGUUUUCAAUGGAGACAGUCCUAUAAUCUAUGAAUAGCAUUUAUACUUUUUCUCUUUUUGUACUAGCUUACACUUCCGGUGUUCAAUGUUUAAUAAAAGUAAUGAUAGAAGCACCCUUAUUUUAUUGUUUAUUAAUUUUAAAGAGAAUGUCCCACACGUCACCAUGAACUAUCAUGCUAGUUGUAGUUUUCCACGUUCGGGAACUCCUUUUCUGUUCUAUAUUUGUUCCUAGUCCUUAUCUCUCCGUGUGAUUGGAUUUUAUCAACCUGCUUUGCCCCCAUCUCUUGAGGUGAGCAUAUGUCUUCGCUUCUUUCACCUAUGCAUGUGGUGAGUGAAAUUACUAAAUCUUUAACGUUCACUCAAAUUUGUAUGCCUACAAUAAACCGCCUUGAUCAUGGCAUGUUACGUGGUUUAUACUUUGCUGGAUUUCCUUUGCUGGCAUCUUACGUAGGGUUUUGCAUUUCAGUUACUGAGUGUGCUUGUCCUCUAACUCUUCUUCUACCAUCCUUCUCUAAAAUUUGUUAUCAUUUUUAAACUAGGCUUAAGGAUCAAGUUAGGGGAGUAUCUCAUGGUUUUCUAAUCUCUGUUGACUAUGUACAAGAUUAAAAUGACUGUUUCUUGCAUGUUUGCUGGAACCUGACUGGAAACGAUCUAGGUCUGCCAUUUUCUUUGUAGGGAGAUCUUGAACUACUGACCCAUUUUAUUUCGUGGUUAAAGGCAUCUUCUGGUGCUAAUUUACUUAGAAAAAAUUCUGAUGCAUGUUCUAGGUUGCUCGAAUCUCAUCUUCAAAUAUUGAUUAUCAGGGCUUGUAGCCUCAUGCAAGGCAAUUCAUCAAUCCCAGAUUUCCCCAAAGUCAGGCUCUGCAACUCUUCCCGGUACCAAAUUCCCUCAUUUAAGACUUAUUUGCAAAGAGACAACAGUAUGCUAUCUAUGCAGUUGUUUAUCCGCAACCUUCUUGAGUCCAUAAUGUGAGGAUACAGUCUUCUAAUACUUUUUUUGUAAUUGUUCUCUUUCUUAUUUUUUUUUUCCUUUUUUCACUGCCAAUACCCACCCCCCCCAGUCUAGUAGUUUUAAAGUUGUGCGUUUCAGGUUCAAGUCUGUAAUCCAACUGAGCUUCUGUGUGUGCUGCAUGUGUGCAUCAAAAGAACGCGCUUCUAGAAGCAGAAAGCAGGCAGUGCGACUGUUGGGUGGUUGGUGGGGUAGGGGGAGGGGAGCUGCUGCCCAGAGAGGGCGCCCGAGGGAGGCAGGAGAUGCCGGGCUGCCCACCGCAAGCCCACAGGCUCCAAGGAGGAGGAACCUGCGUGCGCCAUGAGCCUUUUGAGACAGGCCCAAGCCCACCCAGCCGGGUGCUAACCUCGCAUCCGCCAGGCUUGCAGGUUCCACCAGGACUAGGGGAAGCCUAAGGCCGAGGAGGGCAAGGUCUAGGGUCUGGACCUGAGAACUGGUUCUGCCACUUGUGAUCGCAGCGCUUAUGCUGGAAAGGAGGGCAGGAAGCAUAUCGCAACGUGUGUCCGGACGAUGACCCAGAACGGGGGAGCUGUGGUCACCCACGGACUCUGGGUCUGCAUAUGGAGGCCCCCAGGGUGCAAUUCCAGGAGCAGAAGGCAAAGCCACAGAGGCCAAAGUGCACCUCGCCGAUGCUUCCCAGGGGCAUUUCCCCAAAUAUGGGGAGCAGUCCCUCCUCUGGGCUAGGGACUUUGUUUCCUCCAUUGUCAUCACUGACUGUGAGCAGAAUCUAGUCUAUGCAGACUAAUGAGGAGUUAUCAAAAUGAGCUCCAAACUCCGGAUUUGAGUUAAGGAUCAUAAAUUAACACAGAGAAAUAUGACUUUAGCAAUAAGUGACUGUUUGAAGCCCAAGUUGCCUUAAAACACGGAAUUUCAGUCUUUCAGCUCCUCUGCUAAUCUAGUGACUAAGAACAGGAUCUCACUGGAGCUCAAAGAUGUGGGGCACUGGGAAUACUCUGGGUCUGUCUGCUCACGGCUGAUUGCCUGAUCCCAGUUUUAUUAUACAGCUUAAAUACAGACCAGAAGAGGAGUUUGGGGCUUGACACCUGACAUCUUAACACCAGUUCCUGUUUCUUGAGGAAGGAAGAGGUAAAAUAAAUCAGCGUUUACUGUGUAGUUCUCCAUCCCCAGAAGUCCUGAUGAAGACCCUCUCAGCUUCUACUUGAACGUGAAUAUGAGCAACUGAUCAUCUGUUCUGAAGUCAGCCCCUGGCCUGAUUCUGACUCAUGGUAUUGACCUUCUCCAUCAUCACCUUCCACAAAUUUGAUUCCUAUCUAUUCUGCCUGGAAUGGUUCACGAGUAUAAUCACCAUUUAUGUUCCUGACGAAAGCAGGUGAAGACAUUCAUUGAGAGAGGCAAUUUCCAUGCGUGCAGGCAAAGUGUGUGCUGAGAUGAUGAGUUGCUGGAGACCAGGGUGGACUCUUCAGACCCAGAAUAGGCCUCUGGCAGGCAUUCUAUCAGGCACUCCAAGCUGUGAAGUGCAUGGGGGGAGAAAGAAGAGAUUUCAGAGAAUGAACACAUACAGAGAGAGAGGCAAGAGAUGGUGAGUGGGGAUGUCUUGCAUACUGAUAUCCUGAGGAAAGUGGGAAAAUUGGACCCUGGCUUGCUCUGCCAAUGCCGUGAAGCAGUCCGCACCAGGGGCUCCCUUGUGCCUGCAUAGCCUUUCCCAGGGUGUGCUCAAAUCCUUUGGCCACUAGGUGUCCUAGGUCACAAUGGAGGACCCUGUGACAUCUGCCUGGUGGACUGGAUCUCUGCCAUUGGCUAAGUCUUGUCACCAGGCCCAUCAUAAGCUCUGCCCACUCUUCCGGUGGGGAGACUCUCUCCAUGGUGAUGGCAAAGAAACCUUAGUCCCGCCCACCUGGCCUUGACUUCACCUACCUGGCCUGCUGACCCUCACCCAGACCUCUGUGUGGAUGAAAAUGAAUGUCCACCAGUGGCCCAGUGUCAGCGUCUGGUAUAAAGGAUUCGGGACGUUUCCUGAGGCAGAAGGCAGCCUACGUCUGCGGGUACCUGGAAGUCUAGUGACUUGUGAUGCUGCUGCCAGUGAGAAAUGGUGACUCCCACACUCACAUAUCCCCUGGUGGCAGAAUGAUAGUGAUGGGUGGAGAAACAUGGCUCCGGAGCACAUGUUCAGUGGGGCACCGGCCAAAUGUCAGGGCCAGGAGUGGACGUCGUGGAGCUGCAUGGCGUGCCAGUGAAGGGCCCAAGGAUUUCUCCAAUGAGGCAAAAUGCAGAUCAAGCCAAGGAACACAAAGAUAAAGCAGCUGAAGAAAUUAAAAAGGUUACUCAAGAACAUAGUUAAAAAUUUAAUAAGCUGCAAGAAACCAUAGAGAGACUGCAAUCAGAGAUUCAGAAGAUUAACAAUAAAAUUACAGAGUCAGAAAACUCAAUAGAAAGUAAUAAGAGCACAAUUGAGGAAUUGGAAGGCAGAAUUACUGAGAUGGAAGAUCAAACUCUUGGGACUAAUAUAUUUGAAGAGAAAGCAGAUAAAAGAAUUUUAAAUGAAGAAAUCCAAAGAAUCAUGUGGGACUUUAUCAAGAGAAAUAACUAUGAGUGAUUUCAGUACCAGAACAGGGAGGGCUAACAGAAAAUACAGAGGGAACUGUUGAAGAUUUGUUGGCAGAACUUCCCUGAUAUCAUGAAAGAUGCUCAUCGAAUUCCACAUACGGUAGAUCUCAAAAGAAAGUGACCGAGACACAUAAUAAUCAAACUUGCCAAAAUCAAAUAUAAAGAGAAUUUUAAGAGAGGCUAGGGAUAAAGGAAGUCACCAACAAAGGAGAGUAAAUAAUAAAAAACUUGGACUACUCAGCAGAAAUCAUGCAGGCAAGAAGGCAAAGGGAUGACUUACACAAAAUAUUGAAGGAAAAAAAUUGCCAGCCAGGAAUCAAACCAUAACCCUGGCCCUCUGGCCUUCGGGCCCUCUGGCCUUAGCCCUCUAACUCUAGCCCCUAAGCCCUGAGCCCCAAAGCCCCUAAGACCCUAAGCCCUUAGGUCCUAACCCCCAAGGCCCUAAACUCUAACCCUAACCCAAACCCUAACCCCUAUUCCCUAAACUCUACAACCUAAACACCUACACCCCAAAACACUACACAUCAAAACCCUACACACUAAACCCUAUACUCUAAGCCUCAAACCCUAAACCCAAACCUCAAAUCCCAAACCCCAAACCCUAAACCUAACCGUAAACCCUAAACCCUAACACCUAACCCUAACCCCUAACCACCCUAACCCUAAUGACCCUAACCCUCGAACCCUAACCCUCUAACGCUAACAUGAAACCCUAAUCCGAAACCCUAACCCUCUAACUCUAACCUCUAACCCUAACCCUCUAACCCUAGCCCUAAUCCUAACCCCAACCUCCAAACCUAACCCCAAACCCUAAACCUCAAAUCCCUAGCCCUAAACCUAAGAAUGAGCCUAAGCCUAACCCUAUCACUUAACUCUAAACCCUAAACCAUAACACUUAAAACCCUAACACCCUUAGCCCUAACACAUUUAACCCUAACACCCUAAACGCCAAAACCCUAAACACUAACACCCUUAACUCCAACCCCUAACCCCUAAACCCUAAGCUUAAACACUAAACCGUCUAACCCUCUAACCCUAAUACCCUAAACCCUAACCCCAGCCCCCAGCCUUAACGCUCACUCUAAGCCUUAAACCUUAAGCCCUAAACCCUAGGCUCUAAGCCCUAAGCCCUAAACUCUAAAUCCUAAAACCCUAAACUCUAAGCCCUAAGCCUAACCCUCUAAUCCUAAACCCUAAAACCUUACCCCAAACCCAUCCCAAACCCCUAAACCUGAACCCCUAAGCCCUAGCCCUAACCCUAAUCCUCUAAGCCUAACCCUCUAACCCUAACUCUCUAACCCUAACCACAACACCAACCCCAACCUCUGAACCCAAAAACCCUAACCCCCUAACCCCAAGCUUCUGAACCCUAAGCCUAAACCCUCUAACCCUAAAUCCUAACCUUCACCCCCUCACACCCUCACCUUCUCACUCCCUCACUCUAUAAUCUUCUCAACUUCUAACCCCCUCACCCUCUAACCCCUCACCCUCUAACUCCCUCAAUCUCUAACCCCCAACCCUCUAGACCCCAACCCUCUAACACCCACCCUCUAACCCCAAACCACAUAUCCCAAACAGACCCAACACCAACCCCAACCCUAAACCUAAACCCUGACCCCUAAAACCUAAACCAAACCCUAACGACUAAACCCCAAAACCCUAAACCCCAAACUGCAACCCCUAACACCUAACCUUAACUCCAAACUCUAACCUCAAACCCUAAACCUAACCCUAACACCUAACCCCAACCAAAAAACCCUAACCCUAAACUCUAACCCCAAACCCUAACGACCCUAACUCUAACAACCCUAACCUUAACAUCCCUAAGCCCAAACCCUAACCCUUUUUGUUAGCAGCCAUAGCACUUAACCACUAGCCACCAGGGUUUCCAUGAGCAGUCACAGGAAUAGACACAUGCACACCCGUGUUCACUGCAACAUUAUUCACAGUUGCAAAAAGAUGGAAACAACCUAAGUGCUCGUCCACAGAGGAAUGGAUAAACAAACUACGGUACAUACACAGUGGAACACUACACGACAAUAAAGACCAAUGAUGAAUCUCCGAAACAUCUCACACCAUGGAUGAAUCUGGGGCGCAUCACACUAAGUCAAUCACAAAACGUCAUAUACAGUAAGAGACCACUAUCAUAAAAACUCAUGAAAACAUUUACGCACAGAAACAAUCCUUGAUGUUCACCAGGGAGACGAAGAGCGGGUAGAGAAAAGCCAACUAAACAAUAACCAAAAAAACCAAACCCACUGCUGUCGAGUUGAUUCCAGCUCAUAGCGACCCUACAGGACAGAUUAGAACUGCCCCCAUAGAGUUUCCAAGGAGUGCUUGGUGGAUUCGAACUGCAGACCUUUGGUUAGCACCGGUGGCUCUUAACCACUACGCCACCAGGGUUUCCAACCAAACAACAGAUCGGUGGUAACUCUGGCGAAGGAAAGACGGUACACAAGACUGGGGAAUCAAUCUCAGCCUCACUCUAACCCUAACCCUAAACCACUUGUGCCCGAGCCUAGUAACCCCAGCCCUAACCCCAACCCCCAACCACCUAAAACCUAUACCCCUAAACCUAACUCCCAAACCUCUAACCCCCAAACCUGGACCCCUAACACCAAACCCUAACCCCUAACCCUAAUCCUCUAACCCUUCUGCAUCUCUGGGCCUCUCGACUCUCCGUCUAUUUUCUUCCUCCAAAUCCUACUAACACUCAGUGGAAUUUUGAAGUUUGAGCUGUGCUUUGCUUCUUGUUGUCUCCACCGGUCCCAUCAAGGCACUGCAUCAUUUGCUCUGCUUCACUAUUCAGUUCCAAAACCAUGGCUUAGAAUCGCCUGACACUGGACUUCAGCGAUUCGGUGCAAGGCCGCGAGAGGGCGCGCGCACCGCCGGUUCUGUUCUGCCCACCAGGCCCUCUGAGCAUGGGAACCUCCUGGACCUAAGCCCGGACGACCUGGGUACCGCUCCAGUGGCGACAGCAGAAGCUUUUCUUCCCGAGGGACCCAACGCCCCAGGGCGCUCUCUCAAUACUCCCGUUAAUGCUAUGAUUAUCCUAACCCACUCCUUCUGUGCGACCUAGUGGGUCCUCUACCAGGUCCAGCCUUCACGACCCGCACCCCCCUGCCGUGGUCAUGUACAGGAACCUGCAGGGCCGCGCCCUCCCCGCCCAAGCUCUGCCCCUCCAUACCCUGAUGCCCUGCAGGCCUCUACUAGGUACCCGCCCAGGGGAGAGUUGUCGCCCCGCACGGGUCGGGGGACACGAGGGAACAUUCGGAAACCACCCCCAGGCCAGGCACGAAGCCGACUGCCGGAUUGCCGGUAUUGAGACCAUGUGAGCAGGGCUGCCCCGCCAACUGGAGCCUGCAGGACAUCACUCACGUUUGUCAGCUUCUCACCGCCCUCUGGGCUCCGGGUCCCAGAGCAGCCAAUCCCCCGGGGGGGGAGGGGGGGCGGUCCGUCCGCAGGUGCUGGAAGAUCGGGUUGGUGCCCAUGGCCGGAGCGCUUAAAACCCUUAGAAACCCUCAUAAACCGUCAGCUCCAGACUUUCAAAUGUCAGCCUGAGAGACACCUAAUCUCCAACCUAAAAAAAAAAAAACAAAACACACCCGUUGCCAUCGAGUCAAUUCUGACUCAUAGCGACGCUAUAGGACAGAGUAGAACUGCCCCACAGUUUCCAGGGAGCGCCUGGUGGAUUCAAACUGCCAACCUUUUGGCUAGCAGCCUUAGCACGUAACCACUACGCCACCAGGGUAACCCACUAAACCUACUGCCACCAGGGUAGAGGCUCCAAAUCCCGCCAGUGUGAGGAACCCUCAAAUCCCCUCAGCACCAGAGACCGCGUCCACAGCGACCGGUACACAGCGCCGCACAAACGUUUAAGUUAACAAACAACAUGGUUGCUCAGGACCCCUUCCUGCUACCCCACCCCUGCCACGCAGAGGGGGAGCGGGACCCGGCAUCCACACUGUUAACAGACACUGAAUCGCUGCUGCAUCCACAAGGAGUAGGAUCCCCGCGCUGCUCCACAGAU